UAUGUAGGGUGCAAGCGUUUAAUCGGAAUUACUGGGCGUAAAGCGUGCGCAGGCGGUUUUGUAAGUUUGUCGUGAAAGCCCCGGGCUCAACCUGGGAAUUGCGAUGAAGACUGCAAGGCUUGAAUCUGGCAGAGGGGGGUAGAAUUCCACGUGUAGCAGUGAAAUGCGUAGAGAUGUGGAGGAACACCGAUGGCGAAGGCAGCCCCCUGGGUCAAGAUUGACGCUCAUGCACGAAAGCGUGGGGAGCAAACAGG
rnacentral:rRNA from 1 species